CAGCCGCGGUAAUACAGAGGGUGCAAGCGUUAAUGGGGAAUUACUGGGCGCAAAGCGAGCGUAGGUGGUUUGUUAAGUCGGAUUAAAUCCCAGGGCUCAACCUUGGAAUGGCACCCGAUACUGGCAGGCUAGAGUAUGGUAGAGGGGUGUGGAAUUUACUGUGUAGAGGUGAAAUGCGUAGAUAUAGGAAGGAACAUCAGUGGCGAAGGCGACACCCUGGACUAAUACUGACACUGAGGUGCGAAAGCGUGGGGAGCAAACAGGAUUGAGAUACCCUGGUAGUUCCACUGCCGUAAACGAUGUCUACUAGCCGUUGGGUUGUAAUGACUUAGUGGCGCAGUCUAACGCAAUAAGUAGACCGUCCUGGGGAGUACUGGCCGCAAUGGUUAAAACUCAAAUGAAUUUGACGGGGGCCCGCACAAGCGGUGUGAGCAUGUGAAUUUAAUGCUACGCAACGCCAAAGAACCUUACGCUACAUCUUGACAUCCAGAGAAUUCGCUAGAGAUAGCUCUACGUGCCUUCCGGGAACUCUGAGACAGGUGCUGCAUGGCUGUCUUCAGCUCGUGU
rnacentral:rRNA from 1 species